rnacentral:rRNA from 1 species
UGUUUCGGCUAGGGGGUCAUCCCGACUUACCAACCCGAUGCAAACUACGAAUACCGAAGAAUGUUAUCACGGGAGACACACGGCGGGUGCUAACGUCCGUCGUGAAGAGGGAAACAACCCAGACCGCCAGCUAAGGUCCCAAAGUCAUGGUUAAGUGGGAAACGAUGUGGGAAGGCCCAGACAGCCAGGAUGUUGGCUUAGAAGCAGCCAUCAUUUAAAGAAAGCGUAAUAGCUCACUGGUCGAGUCGGCCUGCGCGGAAGAUGUAACGGGGCUAAACCAUGCACCGAAGCUGCGGCAGCGACACUAUGUGUUGUUGGGUAGGGGAGCGUUCUGUAAGCCGUUGAAGGUGGCCUGUGAGGGUUGCUGGAGGUAUCAGAAGUGCGAAUGCUGACAUAAGUAACGAUAAUGCGGGUGAAAAACCCGCACGCCGGAAGACCAAGGGUUCCUGUCCAACGUUAAUCGGGGCAGGGUGAGUCGACCCCUAAGGCGAGGCCGAAAGGCGUAGUCGAUGGGAAACAGGUUAAUAUUCCUGUACUCGGUGUUACUGCGAAGGGGGGACGGAGAAGGCUAUGUUGGCCGGGCGACGGUUGUCCCGGUUUAAGCAUGUAGGCG